CUAGGGUCAUUUCGAGGAGUAAAAGUCGUAACAAAGUUUCCGUAGGUGAACCUGCGGAAGGAUCAUUAUCGAAAUUAUUGGUGAGGGUUGUAGCUGGCCUUUCGAGGCAUGUGCACGCUCGAGCCCUUAAUCCACUUUACACCCGUGCACUUAAUGUAGGUCGCCCUUAAAAAAGGUGACCUAUGUCUUAUCAUCAACCCAUCGUAUGUCUCAUAGAAUGUAAUCGAUAUCCUCGCCCUGAAAAAGCGUUGAUAAACUUAUACAACUUUCAACAACGGAUCUCUUGGCUCUCGCAUCGAUGAAGAACGCAGCGAAAUGCGACAAGUAAUGUGAAUUGCAGAUUUUCAGUGAAUCAUCGAAUCUUUGAACGCACCUUGCGCUCCUUGGUAUUCCGAGGAGCAUGCCUGUUUGAGUGUCAUUAAAUUCUCAACUCCAAGGGUUUCACGACCUUUCGGAGAUUGGACUUGGAGGUGCUGGCCGCAUAUUGGUCGGCUCCUCUCAAAUGCAUCAGCGGAAUUCAACCUUUGGCUUCCGGAUGUCAGUGUGAUAAUCAUGUUGCGCUGUCGUUUGAUCCCUCAGAGUCCGCUUAUAAUGGUCUUCGGACAAAAUCAUCAUCAAAUUUGACCUCAAAUCAGGUAGGACUACCCGCUGAACUUAAGCAUAUCAAUAAGCGGAGGA
rnacentral:rRNA from 1 species